rnacentral:rRNA from 1 species
AGUGAACGCUGGCGGUAGGCCUAACACAUGCAAGUCGAACGGCAGCACAGUAAGAGCUUGCUCUUACGGGUGGCGAGUGGCGGACGGGUGAGGAAUACAUCGGAAUCUACUUUUUCGUGGGGGAUAACGUAGGGAAACUUACGCUAAUACCGCAUACGACCUACGGGUGGAAGCAGGGGAUCUUCGGACCUUGCGCGAUUGAAUGAGCCGAUGUCGGAUUAGCUAGUUGGCGGGGUAAAGGCCCACCAAGGCGACGAUCCGUAGCUGGGCUGAGAGGAUGAUCAGCCACACUGGAACUGAGACACGGUCCAGACUCCUACGGGAGGCAGCAGUGGGGAAUAUUGGACAAUGGGCGCAAGCCUGAUCCAGCCAUACCGCGUGGGUGAAGAAGGCCUUCGGGUUGUAAAGCCCUUUUGUUGGGAAAGAAAAGCAGCAGGUUAAUACCCCGCUGUUCUGACGGUACCCAAAGAAUAAGCACCGGCUAACUUCGUG